GGAGCAACAAGUUGAGAAGAGAGCUCGACUUAGCACUAAACCUUGUAAGCUGUAAGGAAGCUUGCAUUUGCUAAUCUCCCAGGAAGAAGGUACUACCUAGGAUCAAGAUCAGCUCCGGCAGGAUAACGCCGAGGCGUAACCCCCUGUCCUGAGUCUCCAUCUGCUGGGCUAUACGACGCACAGUAAAUCAUUACAUGUUCAAACUUCUGUCCUUGUGUGGCGUGGUCCUUGCUAGUGAACUAGCUUUGAGUGACAUUUACAGGCAAAGUAACUGUAGACCUCAGACGACAGAAGAGGGCCACGGAGUGCAGAGAAAGUGAGAGCGUCCCAGAAGGAUUUUUCAGCAGAUCUUUUAAGUGUUUCAAAAAGUGACACCAAAGAACAACAGACCAAAGAGGGGGCUUUAGGAAAAAAGAGCCGGGGCACAGAAAGACUUUGUUCUUAUGAUGUUUUCAGCAUUAGGAGACCUUAAUAUUAUGUUUACAUCCCUGAUGGCAAGUUAAAUAAA